UACGUAGGAUGCUAGCGUUGUCCGGAUUUACUGGGCGUAAAGCGCGCGCAGGCGGCACUGUAAGUAAGGUGUGAAAUAUCCCUGCUCAACGGGGAGGGUGCAUUUUAGACUGCAGAGCUAGAGGACGGUAGAGGGGGGUGGAAUUGCUGGUGUAGCGGUGAAAUGCGUAGAGAUCAGCAGGAACACCCGGUGGCGAAGGCGGCCCCCUGGGCCGAACCUGACGCUGAGGCGCGAAGGCUAGGGGAGCGAACGGG
rnacentral:rRNA from 1 species